AUUGAACGCUGGCGGCAUGCUUUACACAUGCAAGUCGAACGGCAGCGCGGGCUUCGGCCUGGCGGCGAGUGGCGAACGGGUGAGUAAUGCAUCGGAACGUGCCCAGUAGUGGGGGAUAGCCCGGCGAAAGCCGGAUUAAUACCGCAUACGACCCGAGGGUGAAAGCGGGGGACCGGAAGGCCUCGCGCUAUUGGAGCGGCCGAUGUCGGAUUAGCUAGUUGGUGGGGUAGAGGCUUACCAAGGCGACGAUCCGUAGCUGGUCUGAGAGGACGACCAGCCACACUGGGACUGAGACACGGCCCAGACUCCUACGGGAGGCAGCAGUGGGGAAUUUUGGACUAUGGGGGCAACCCUGAUCCAGCCAUGCCGCGUGCGGGAAGAAGGCCUUCGGGUUGUAAACCGCUUUUGUUCGGGAAGAAAUCCUCUGGGCUAAUACCCCGGGGGGAUGACGGUACCGGAAGAAUAAGCACCGGCUAACUACGUG
rnacentral:rRNA from 1 species